AAAAAAGACUGAAAUCGAGGCUGCUAACUUCGAUUCGGGAGUAUUCUCUUCCUCUUUUUUU
rnacentral:tRNA from 1 species